rnacentral:rRNA from 1 species
UGAGCAAUCUGCCCUUCUCAUCGGAAUAAGCGUUGGAAACGACGUCUAAUGCCGAAUACGACCUCCUUUCGCAUGAUCGGAGGUGGAAAGCUCCGGCGGAGAAGGAUGAGCUCGCGGCCUAUCAGCUAGUUGGUGUGGGUAAUGGCCCACCAAGGCGACGACAGGUAGCCGGCCUGAGAGGGUGACCGGCCACACGUGGGACUGAGACACGGCCCAGACCUCCGUAGGGACGG